CCUGUUCGAGCGUCAUUACAACCCUCAAGCUCUGCUUGGUGUUGGGCCCCGCCGCCCCGGCGGGCCUAAGUCAGUGGCGGUGCGUCCGGCUCCGAGCGUAGUAAUUUUUCUCGCUUUGGAGGCCCGGUCGUGUGCUUGCCAUCAACCCCCAAUUUUUUCAGGUUGACCUCGGAUCAGGUAGGGAUACCCGCUGAACUUAA
rnacentral:misc_RNA from 1 species